CUCCAAGCAGCAGGAGGGGCUGAGGCAGUAGGCCUCCUUCAAACAGAGGCUUCCAGAAUACCCUCAUGCCAAGAGGAAAAAUAAAACAUGGGCCCAGGAGUUGCAAAUAGUAAACCCAGAGGAUGACGCUCCCAGGGACAUGGUAUGGAAGGAAUUGCCUGUUGUGCAUUCAUGUUUUCAGUCAUAUCCACAGCUUCAACCUCAAAAACAGCGGACCCUGCUGACUCAGAUGCCUCGCUGCCUAGAUAGGACUCUGGGGGAGGCAAAAUGAACAAUUUUUCUGGCUGGAAGGUUGGGAAUGAACCAGGUCCAAGAAAUGCAGUAAGAUGGAAUUUCGCUUGCUAUAUUUACCCUGUGCCUAUUGUUGGCUAAAUAUAUAGACACCCAGAUUUGACAGUGCAAUAUCAUUCCGCUGGACAUCCUCCUUCUGAUUCCCACAGAAGCUGUCGACCCUUCUGAAUUUCGAGCCCCCUCCUAGCUGGCUUGGUGUUGUCGUAAUAGUUCAGAAGAUGCACUUUAUAACUGCCUGUGACAGCCGCUGUAUUGAUAUCCCAAGUGUUGGGCAAAAAAUAAACACUUGAUAAAAGUAUGAUUUAA